AGCUCUUGGUAACUAUUCACUUAUUUAAUCCUCUAACAACUGUAUGAGUUAGGGGCUCAAAUUGUUCCCACCACCGCCGGUAUCCCAACACAUGCUUUCACCGAGGAGCAGCCCAUGGAGGAGGACGGGGACUAAGGGGUCGGUAGAGGCAGUGGCCAGCACAGGAAGGAAAGCCACUCCAAGGCCACUUGACACAAGUCCGGUCCUCAGGGCCCAGGCCUGACUGAGCAGGAAGGAGUCCAGUGGGGCACAGUUCCUGAACCAGGGUUUCCUGACGCCUGCCCAGAGGUCUGGUUCCCCACAGGGUGACUUCCAUCAGAACAGGGAUCUUCUAAACAACUGCGUUUCUUGUGUCACAAAAAUAAGGCAUCUGGGGUACAAAACCAGGGGACAGGUUUCCACCAAAAUCAGAAGGUGGAUUCUUUACCAACGAGCCAUCAGGGAAGCCCUAUGCCCCAGUUUGGAUAAUUAUGUUGAGGUACCAGCAUGCCUUGGAGAUACUGCGGGUUGAGUUCCAGACUACCUAAUAAAGCGG
ensembl:lncRNA